rnacentral:rRNA from 1 species
AAUGAACGUUGGCGGCAUGGAUUAGGCAUGCAAGUCGAGCGAGAAGUGUAGCAAUACACGGAAAGCGGCGGAAGGGAGAGUAAUACGUGGGAAUCUGCCCUUAGACCUGGGAUAGCAGCGGGAAACUGCUGGUAAUACCAGAUAAUGUCUAUGGACCAAAGGUGUGAUUCCGUCUAGGGAUGAGCCCACGUCCUAUUAGCUAGUUGGUAGGGUAAUGGCCUACCAAGGCGAUGAUGGGUAGCGGGUGUGAGAGCAUGACCCGCCUCACUGGGACUGAGACACUGCCCAGACACCUACGGGUGGCUGCAGUCGAGAAUCUUCGGCAAUGGGCGAAAGCCUGACCGAGCGACGCCGCGUGAGGGAAGAAGGCCUUCGGGUUGUAAACCUCUUUCGUAGAGGAGGAAGGGGCCGUGCAGAGCGGUCUUUGACCUAUUCUAGGAAGAAGCUUGGGCUAAGUUCGUGCCAGCCGCCGCAGUAACAC